rnacentral:rRNA from 1 species
GACGAACCGUGCGAACGUUGUUCGGAAUCACUGGGCUUAAAGGGCGCGUAGGCGGCUUCGCAAGUCCGGGGUGAAAGCCUCCAGCUCAACUGGAGAAGUGCCUUGGAUACUGCGGGGCUCGAGGGAGGUAGGGGUGCGUGGAACUUCCGGUGGAGCGGUGAAAUGCGUUGAUAUCGGAAGGAACGCCGGUGGCGAAAGCGACGCACUGGACCUCUUCUGACGCUGAGGCGCGAAAGCCAGGGGAGCGAACGGG